rnacentral:rRNA from 1 species
AACGAACGCUGGCGGCAGGCUUAACACAUGCAAGUCGAACGCCCCGCAAGGGGAGUGGCAGACGGGUGAGUAACGCGUGGGAAUCUACCCAGUUCUACGGAACAACACAGGGGAACUUGUGCUAAUACCGUAUACGCCCUACGGGGGAAAGAUUUAUCGGAAUUGGAUGAGCCCGCGUUGGAUUAGCCAGUUGGUGAGGUAAAGGCUCACCAAGGCUACGAUCUAUAGCUGGUCUGAGAGGAUGAUCAACCACACUGGGACUGAGACACGGCCCAGACUCCUACGGGAGGCAGCAGUGGGGAAUCUUGCGCAAUGGGCGAAAGCCUGACGCAGCCAUGCCGCGUGAAUGAUGAAGGUCUUAGGAUUGUAAAAUUCUAUUACCAGGGACGAUAAUGACGGUACCUGGAGAAAAAGCCCCGGCUAACUUCGUGCCAGCCGCCGCUGUAAGAC